ACGAGGCACUACGGUGCUGAAGCAACAAAUGCCCUGCUUCCAGGAAAAGCCUCUAAGCAUCAGGUAACAUCAAAUCGUACCCCAAACCGACACAGGUGGUCAGGUAGAGAAUACCAAGGCGCUUGAGAGAACUCGGGUGAAGGAACUAGGCAAAAUGGUGCCGUAACUUCGGGAGAAGGCACGCUGACACGUAGGUGAAGUGAUUUACUCAUGGAGCUGAAGUCAGUCGAAGAUACCAGCUGGCUGCAACUGUUUAUUAAAAACACAGCACUGUGCAAACACGAAAGUGGACGUAUACGGUGUGACGCCUGCCCGGUGCCGGAAGGUUAAUUGAUGGGGUCAGCGCAAGCGAAGCUCCUGAUCGAAGCCCCGGUAAACGGCGGCCGUAACUAUAACGGUCCUAAGGUAGCGAAAUUCCUUGUCGGGUAAGUUCCGACCUGCACGAAUGGCGUAAUGAUGGCCAGGCUGUCUCCACCCGAGACUCAGUGAAAUUGAACUCGCUGUGAAGAUGCAGUGUACCCGCGGCAAGACGGAAAGACCCCGUGAACCUUUACUAUAGCUUGACACUGAACAUUGAGCCUUGAUGUGUAGGAUAGGUGGGAGGCUUUGAAGCGUGGACGCCAGUCUGCGUGGAGCCGACCUUGAAAUACCACCCUUUAAUGUUUGAUGUUCUAACGUGGACCCGUUACCCGGGUUGCGGACAGUGUCUGGUGGGUAGUUUGACUGGGGCGGUCUCCUCCUAAAGAGUAACGGAGGAGCACGAAGGUUGGCUAAUCCUGGUCGGACAUCAGGAGGUUAGUGCAAUGGCAUAAGCCAGCUUGACUGCGAGCGUGACGGCGCGAGCAGGUGCGAAAGCAGGUCAUAGUGAUCCGGUGGUUCUGAAUGGAAGGGCCAUCGCUCAACGGAUAAAAGGUACUCCGGGGAUAACAGGCUGAUACCGCCCAAGAGUUCAUAUCGACGGCGGUGUUUGGCACCUCGAUGUCGGCUCAUCACAUCCUGGGGCUGAAGUAGGUCCCAAGGGUAUGGCUGUUCGCCAUUUAAAGUGGUACGCGAGCUGGGUUUAGAACGUCGUGAGACAGUUCGGUCCCUAUCUGCCGUGGGCGCUGGAGAACUGAGGGGGGCUGCUCCUAGUACGAGAGGACCGGAGUGGACGCAUCACUGGUGUUCGGGUUGUCAUGCCAAUGGCACUGCCCGGUAGCUAAAUGCGGAAGAGAUAAGUGCUGAAAGCAUCUAAGCACGAAACUUGCCCCGAGAUGAGUUCUCCCUGAGACUUUAGGUCUCCUGAAGGAACGUUGAAGACGACGACGUUGAUAGGCCGGGUGUGUAAGCGCAGCGAUGCGUUGAGCUAACCGGUACUAAUGAACCGUGAGGCUUAACC
rnacentral:rRNA from 1 species